rnacentral:rRNA from 1 species
AACGAACGCUGGCGGCAGGCUUAACACAUGCAAGUCGAGCGCCCCGCAAGGGGAGCGGCAGACGGGUGAGUAACGCGUGGGAAUCUACCCAUCUCUACGGAGUAACGCAUGGAAACGUGUGCUAAUACCGUAUACGUCCUUCGGGAGAAAGAUUUAUCGGAGAUGGAUGAGCCCGCGUUGGAUUAGCUAGUUGGUGGGGUAAAGGCCUACCAAGGCGACGAUCCAUAGCUGGUCUGAGAGGAUGAUCAGCCACACUGGGACUGAGACACGGCCCAGACUCCUACGGGAGGCAGCAGUGGGGAAUAUUGGACAAUGGGCGCAAGCCUGAUCCAGCCAUGCCGCGUGAGUGAUGAAGGCCCUUGGGUUGUAAAGCUCUUUCACCGGUGAAGAUAAUGACGGUAACCGGAGAAGAAGCCCCGGCUAACUUCGUGCCAGCCGCCGCGGUAAAAC